UGAAGGAAAUCUCCAAUGUUAAUAACCAAAGCUUGAGGCUGAGGCUUCACAUGGAUCCAACCAUCUGGAGUCUCAACCUGCAAGCCCCCAAUAUGGUCCUGCAGCAACACCGUAAGAGCCCCUGGAUCAGUAUGUGAAUUGAGACCCACCGUUAGAUCAGGCUGAGGGCAAAACGGGUAAUAGUGCCCCACCAUACCUCUUCCUUCCCCCAAACCCAUCUCCCUGAACCUCUCCGCACCCAAUCCCAGCCCCUCACUCAGCAACUCAAACAACACACUCGAAACACGCACCACCUCCUUAUUCCACUCCACCACCUCUUCUCUGCACAUCUCGGGAAUCUCCCUGGGAUCAACGGCUGUGGGCCCCAUUCUUAUCUGCAAAAUCAAAAUUAAAACUCAUAUUUAUUUUAUGAUUUCAUACAAUUUAUUUAUUUUCAAUGCCGAUUAAGUUUAAAUGUUUUCCAAAAAUUUAUAUUAUUUAAAGUUAAAAAAAUAGUCUGUGUGCCUUUUUAGACAGAAAUUUUAAAUAAUAAACACCAAAUAUUAAUUAGUACUUUCGAGGCUUGUAAAAAGGUUAAAUUUUAGUUUUAGUUGUUAUUUUAUUUUUUAUACGUGAUUUCGGUAACUAAAUAUUAAAGAGACUAAAUCACAAAUAAAAAAUUAAAAAAUAAAUUGCAAUUUAGCCUAUCGAAAAUUGCAUGAAUCUAAAAUUUUGUUUUAUAAACUAUAACCUAAUUUCUCUUGUUUCAAAAAUUAAUUAUUUAAAUUAAAAUUAUUAAUUAAAUAUACAUUUAAUCUUUCCUCAACAUGAUUUAUUUUAUGAAUAAAAGAACAUAAUUAAAACUUGAACCAAGUGGUCCCAGGAACACGAGUCCUAAUGCGUCAACCGAUUUAAAUUAUUUUUAAUUACAAAUUUUGUAUUACUUAAUCUUUGGUGAAGAUUAAUGAAUACAGAAUACCAAUAUAUUAUUAACUAAUAAAAAAUAGUUUUGAUAUAAUAUUUAAGAUAAUUAUUACUAAAUAUCGUAGAUUUAUUAUUUAUGGUGAAUAGUGAUUAGAAGGCGUUUCCCGUUUUUGACGCUAUGCUGAAAGUCACCGAGAAAUUAAAAUUCUUCAUAUAUUUCAGUUUUUAGAAGUAAUAAAAAAUAUUAAUCUUACACAAAAAAAAUUAAUUCACUUUAAAUUUACAAAAAUAAAAUAAAAAUCUCUUUCAUAAUAAUUAAUUGUAUAUUAAUAUUAAUUUCAAGUAUUAAUAGAAUUAAAAUUUCGUUAGUUACUCGUAUUGUGUCACGCCAGCUGGCAGCUUUUGAUUGGAAGAGAUCCACGUUGGAAAUGUACGAUACGCCCUUCCCCAUCUCUCUACGGUACACAGGCACUCUGUCCUCCGCGGGCUGCUCGUGGAACGCCUUCACCGCCGCCAGAGUUCGCCGGAGUACCUGCUCCGGGACGCCGUGGUUGAUCACCUGGAAGAACCCCACCGUGCUCGCCGCCUGCCGAACCCGCUCCACCACGGCGGCGCGCGACCCCUGCACGGCGGCCAGGUCAACCGUGGGAAUCUCCGGCGCAGAUUCGGAUUCGAACCCGCGCUUCAGCUCCGCUAAGGUUUUGGGCGGGUGAACGAAGAUAGGGGGGAUGGCCUUGAUCCCAGAAUCGACCAAACCUUUGACUCCGACCUUGGUUUCUUCGAACUCCUUCACCGCUUUCGCGCGGUUGUACGGCGCGGCGGCGCUGACAGCGGUGGCCACCGGCGAUGACAUUGGGAAGAGGCGAGAAUAGGAAUCGUUGUUUGAGUGUAGAAAGUUCAAAUUCAGUGCAAAGUGAAUUGAAAACUAUAAAGUGCAGUUUUCUGAUUUGGCACAAAAAUUAAAUAACAAAAAUAUAUUAGUCAAGAAACUUCACUAAUUCUAGUCAUUUUUUUAUUCAACAGGUUUUUUUUCUUAUUAAAAUAUAUCAAGUAACCAUAAUUAUUUAUUAUUACAUAAAAAAUAUAUUAUUAAAAAAUAUAUAUAUAAAAAUAAAAAAUAUGAAAUGAUUAGAUCAAAAUCUUUAUAUUAAAUAAAAUAAUAUAUAAAUAAAUUAUACAUAUUUAUAAAAAAUCUUAAAUCAGAUUAAAGGUUAAUAAGAAUUUAAAUAUAUAUUUUUCUUUAAUUUAUCGAACAACACUAACCUUUAAAACAAAUAAUAUUUCAAAUGUAAUAAUUAAUUUUAAUAAUACUAUAUUUCUUCAGAAGAAUAUUCAAAUUACAGUGAUGUUAUCAGUUACCUAACACUAAAAUAAUAUAAAUUUGGCCUUAUAGGAUGUUUUUAGAAUGUUGAAUUUUUUAUAAGGUGAGAAAGAAAAUACCAAUAGAAAAAUAAUUUUUAUAAUAGAGUUUAUAUGAAAUUAAGCUAAAAGCACUUUUAUAAGUAUAUCCAUUAUGAACUUCUCGAAGUAAGAAUAUUAUUAAUAGAGUUUAAUAUUUAACAAUUUAACUAUAUCAUGUAUAACUAAUAAUAAGUUGAUUUUUUUACUUAACCUUAACCUUAUUUAUGGAGGUUGAAAGCUCUAUAAAUAUAAAUACUUAUCAAAGAAAACAUAAUAUCUUACUAGAAAAUAAAAUUGUAGUUCUGUAACGUGAGUGAUAAAAAUAUUUGAAUUCAACCAGUUAAAGAUAUUGACUUUAUAUCUAUCAAAUUUAUCGUACUUAAAUCUACUAAACUAUAAUUUCAUAAUUUAUUUAUAUAUACUAAUUCAUAGAAUAAUUUGUUCAUGUUUUUAUUAUGUAUUAAUUAAAGGUUUCAAUUUUUUUGUAUUUUAAAAUUUAAUUCUUUAAAUUUUAAUCAAUAUUAUAAUUAGUAAAUAAAAUAAUAAGUUAGUCCACUUUGUUAGAAACUAGGGAAAUAAAAGGCGUGCCUAUAUGUUUAUUUUUUUAUGAUAAUAAAAGAUAAUUAAUAUAAUUAUUGUUAUUACAAUGAAAUGUAAUUAUCCUAAAAAAGUUAACUAAUGAAUAUAAAAACAGAGAGAAUAAAUUAAUAAAAAUAGUGUAUAAAAAAUAGUCAUGAAAACUAAUUCAUAGCUAAUAUUAAAAUGACGAUCAAUGAAAAUAAGAUUUUUUUAUAGUCAAUGUAAGUCAAGAUUUUUAGCUUUAUUGACAAGGAUUAGUUUCAAAUUAAUAUUAUUAAAAUGAUUUAUCAUCAAAUCAAGUUAUAACUAUUUAUUCAUAGAUGUUUGAUAUUUAGUGGGGUUUUAUUUAGAUGUUAGCCAAAAAAACUUCUAUUGAAAUUUUUAGUAGCUAUUUUUAAUCUGCUAGAAUUAUUUUAUGAACAAUAUUUCUAAUAUUAUUUGACGAUAAUUUUUGUAUUUAAUAUUUUUUAUUAAGUAAUAAUUAAAAUACUCAAUUCAAAAAAAUAAUAAACUUGAAUUUUCUAUUUGGGUGAUAGAAUUUUGAGCAUAGAAUAAAAGAAUGUGUUAACAAGGGAAGAACGUUUUGGUGAAGGCAUGGAAAGGUUAGAGUAUAUUCAACUUUCUGAAUAUAUGACUUUUAAGCAAUUUUAUUCAAUCAAUGCUACAACAUACAUUAUUGAAUAUAUUUGAGUUGACAUGACUUUUGGACUGCUUCUUCUUCUACCAUCAUAGUUUCUUCAAAGCUUCUUCCUACCUUCAAUCUCAUAAUUCUUAAAAUAUCAAAAAUAUAUUUUAUUUUAUUAAUGUUUUUUUUUAAAUAAUAUCAAUCUCAUUCUUUAAAAUAUCAAAAAUAUGUUAUAUUUUAUUAAAAUAUUUAAUUUCUAAAUAAUAAUUUGAAAAAACUCUGAAUUAUAGAAUUUAUAAAAUAUUUUUAAAUAUCCCGGUCUGGUUACUUGUUAAGGUAUUUUUCAUGGAAGUAUAGGGAAAUUUAUUGAAACUUUCUCUGCGUUUCUUGAAGUUCAGACUGCUCUGGUUGCUGAGUUUUAUGGGGUUAUACAUGCUAUGGAGAAAACUCAAAAGAUGGGGCUUUCUAAUGUCUGACUAGAAUGUGAUUUUGCUUUGGUUUGUGUUGCGUUUAUGGUUAUGACCAAUGUUCUUUGGAUGUUUCGUAAUCGAUGAAAUACUUGUCUUAAUUACUGUGGAAAAAUCAGAUUUAGGGUUACUCAUAUUUUUCGUGAAAGGAAUGCGUGUGUUGAUAAGUUGACAAUAUAAUUUAUUCAUAGAGAAUUUUUUCAUUGGUAUAAUACAUCUAGUAUAUUCUUAGAAUUAUUUAUGAAUAUGUAUCGUUUUUGUUAAUAUAUGCGUUUUGAUCUAAUUUAUCAUAUUUUCUUUCUUUUUCUUUUUUAAUAAUAUUUUUUUCAUGUGAUGAAAAAUAAUUGUUGUUACUUAGUGUAAGCAUAACUGAUAUAUGUCUAAGUUGCAUAAUGAUUACGAAAAAAUACAUUAAACAUGAAAGGUUUUAUUUUAAAAAAAAAACUUUCAUAAUUCUAUAAACUAAAAUGUGUUUUUUUUAAAAGAAUAUUCCAAAUUAUUAAAUAUGAAAGGUAUUUUUAAAUUAAAAAAUACAUUUUAAAUUCCAUAAUCUUGAAUUUGAAUUUAUUUUAUUUAAGAAAAAAUAUAUUCUGAAUUGUAGUCCAUAACUACAAUCCAGAUAUAUAAAUUAAAAAAAAAUUCAUUCAGAAAUUAUAAAAUCUAGAAAGUAUUUUUAUAUUUGAAAAUAUAUUUUAAAUUCUAUAAUUCAUAAUAUAUUUAAAAUAAAUAUUUUUGGAUUUCUUAUAAUCCAGAGUAAAUAAGAAAAAUUACAUUCUAAAUUAUAAAAUUUAGAAAAUACAUUCCAAAAAUUUUAAAAAUAAAAUAAUUUUUUCGUCUGAAAUAUAACAAUGUUAGAAGAAGCUAUGGAGGUUUAAGAAGAAAGAGUCUCAUCACCAUGUUUCAUGAAAAUUAUUAACCCAAUAAAAGAAGAGAAAGUUAUAAAGAUGUUUUAUAUUUGACACCACACAUUAAAGAUGAAAAAUUAAAUUUCUCACUCGAAAGACAUUUAUAGUCUCUUAUUAAAAAAUUAUAAAUUAAUUUAUACAUCAAUUAAUUUAAAUUUUAAAAAAAUGUUCUCCCAAAAAUAUUUAUAGAAAAUUUUGCCUAACAAAUUUCCAAUUGUAUAGAGAUUCAUCAUUUUCAAGUACUUUUUUAAGUAUUUGAAUGUUCACUCUUACCAAAAUAUGUAAAAAGAAGUUUCAAUAUCUUCUAAAGUACAUAAGAAAAUAGUUACAACCACAUCAUUGUUUUUUCUAGAACCUUAUGAAACAUUCUAAGGCUUUCCAAAAUAUUAAAGCAUUCUACAACCUCAAUAAAGUUUCUAAUUUAUACCUUAAAUAAUUUUAAUCUAUAGAAAAGCACUUUCUUGUCUUGUAAAAAUUCUAAAAGAAGUUUUAUAAAUUAACUAGUUUGUUACCAACACUGAAACAUAUACACUUGGCUUGCAACAUGCAAUAUAGGAUCACAAUAACCAGAAGUAUGAACAAGAUGACACAAUGUUUAGUUAGAAAUCCAAUACCAAUUUAAGUCAAAAUAAGAAUGAAAAAGUUAGACAUCAUAUAAAAAAAACAAAAAUUCUUUAUGAAUAGGUAUAGUCUAUCUAUGUAUCGUUUUUGUUAACAUAUGAGUUUUGGUCUAAUUUUCCAAUCUUUUUUAAUAAUAUUUUUUUUCAUGACAAAUGAUUAUUGUCACUUGAGGUGUCAACAUAGCUGAAAUGUCAAAUUACAUAAUAAUAACUAAAAUAAAAAUUUUUAUUUAAAAAAAAAACAAAAAAAAAUCAUAAAUUCAUUUGAGUUGAAAAAUGUCUAAUAUGUGUUACUAAAACUAGAGUAUAUCAUAAGUGAGGGAGGAACCAUUAUUGUUUCAAUUCAUCAACCACCUUUAACCUUUUAUUCACAAACUAAUUAGUUUAAAAUAUCAUCAUAUCACAUCAACCUUUUUAAAUCAAUACUUAAAAUGUUUUUAACAUUGACAUAUACAACCAGAAAUUAUAGGUGCUAAGUGUGUGUUCAUCACUGCCUGAAGAAAUUUGUGAGUGAUUUUCCAUCCAACUCUUUCUUGAAGAAUCUGGUCAUAAAUUCAUGGAAAGUGAAGUUCCUGUAAAGGGCGGGUUUCUCAGUUGAUGUUAACUCUGGCAAUGGUCCAAAGAGUCUCUCCCUGUCACUUGGGUUGAGGAAAACAGCUACUGAGACUCUAGCCUCAUUACAAUGAUUAGCUAACACUCGAUGAUGAGCACUCUUAUAUGCUUCGUUAGAAAUUAUCUGAAACACAAAAUAAUGAAUAUGAAAGAUCAGAAAAAGGGAUGUCAUAAAACAAUUCCUACAUAUAUAACCUGGUAGACCUUCAAAUUUAACCAAAGUUUUUCUUGAAGUUAUAAAUGGUUCUAAUAAUAUGUUUACAAAAUUAUAAAAGUCAAGUUGGUGCUAAGUUAACAAAUUAAUUUCAUAACCUUGCUUCAAAAUGUAAAAUUUAAUUAAAUUACUUUCCUUCUUUUUGUCUGUCAAAUGCAUUCUCUUCAAAAUUAAGAUCACUAAUAAUCUAUUAUUUUCAUUUUCAAAAAUAUUAUCUUAUCUUAAAAUAUCAUACCAUUUAUGUCUUGUGUGAGUAUCAUUAAUUUUGACUCUUAAACGAUACGAGAAUAAGCAAUGUGAAAAUAAUUAACAUAUAGCAAGGAGACCAUAAUAUUUUAAAGUAAAUAUUUUAAAUAAAUAAUCUUGAAAGGAUUAAAAAUAAUGUAAUUCUCAAAGUGUUUGUUUCAAAUUAUUGACCCACAUGAAAGAUACAUCAUGAUAAGCACAAAAAUUAAGUGACACAAGGGUUUAUUUAAUUAAACAAUUAUUAUUAUAUAUGAACAAAAUAAAAUAAAAUAUGAACCUGAAGGAAAUCUCCAAUGUUAAUAACCAAAGCUUGAGGCUGAGGCUUCACAUGGAUCCAACCCUGUGGGGUCUCAACCUGCAAGCCCCCAAUAUGGUCCUGCAGCAACACCGUAAGAGCCCCUGGAUCAGCAUGCGAAUUAAGACCCACCGUUAGAUCAGGCUGAGGGCAAAACGGGUAAUAAUGGCCCACCAUAAUUCUUCCUUCUCCCAAACCCAUCUCCCUGAACCUCUCCGCACCCAAUCCCAGCCCCUCACUCAGCAACUCAUACAACACACUCGAAACACGCACCACUUCCUUAUCCCACUCCACCACCUCU
rnacentral:lncRNA from 1 species